UUCAGAUAAGGUGCCAAGCCAGCUGCCAACAAAACAAUGCUUGAGAGUUCUAUGAAAUUUUCAAUGGUUAUAAAAUCUUCUUGUCCCCUUGGAUCAUCAUCAUCAUUUUCGUAGAAACAAAAAUAAAAUCGUCCGACGUGACGAUGCUUCUAAAGAAAAAGUGCACCAGCAGGGUCAAGGAGUGGUACGCUGGAUUCAAUCACUUUUAGCAUUGAGAUGAGAUUGUAACAUUGUACGUAUAUACAGAUAUAUAUGUUUCUAUAGACAUACUCGAUUUGACGAAUAAGCGAGUGUUUAUAGAAAAGUUUAACCAGGCUAAGCCUGUUAUAAACGCAUUUACCAUCAAUACGACUUCACAUCUACUCCAAGGCUUGACUAAAGUAAUAUUUAUGAAGAUUUUAUAAUGCAACCCGUGGGCAUGGCUUGUCAAUUGGUAUUUUCUCAGAGGCUAUUUACCUACAUAUAAUUGAAAUUUGACAGAUCAAUAUGCAAAGCAACACUGUGAAACAAUCCUUUUUGUACAGCUAAACGAUGAAGUCCUCAAUAUAUGGACCGAAAGAAGACAGAGCCCUUUGGGUCACGGCUAUGCUUCGAACUUAAAGAAGAAAAAAGCAAAAGCUUUUGUAUUUUUGUCUUGCUCCCCUCAACUGAAAAUAUUUCUGCAGCGCAUAAAACGUAUAUUUUGGAUUGACAACAGAAAUCCUUAAUACUGUUCCAUAUUGACAUAGUUAUCAAAAAUUGGACCUUCCCUUAAUCAUCAUCUAAAUCAUUAAAAUAAUGACAUAACCUAUACGUCCAAGGGAACAAACGUUAAUUUACUGCGUAUUACAACUUUAGAGAUUCAUACCCACCCAACACCUGUUCUUAAUUUCACAAUAUUGUAAAAACACCGCAUACACGAGUAGUAGCCUUUCCUGCCCCACAAACAUAUUUAAGUUCAUAAGGCAAAUUCACAGUUGUGCGUUUGCAUUGAUGUCUUAGUUUGUCAUUAGAUUGACCCACAUUCAAAUUCAAUUAACAUUAGAAAGUUAUUUUUCCGAACAACAAAAAUACAACACAACAACAAAAAUAAAGAAAUAAAAGAACAGUUCUUGACCAAAAACACACAAAUGUUCCAAUCACAAUACCUCUCUGCUUGUACCUAACCCCUAUAUCAACUUCAACUUCUGCUACUGCAACAGGUCUUACAUAUUAAAAAAAAAAAAAAAGGAAUCAUCAUUAUCAUCAAAAUUCAUUAACCGGAACCACCACCGCCAUUUACGUAGGCAGAGUCAACCUUAAAGAAGCCACUAACAAUUGAAAAAUAAAAUAAUAAACCAUUGAACCAUUCAAUUGGCUAACAAACGAAGGCUUUAGCCACCGUUAUCGGGCCUCAAUAUUAACGAUACCAAAAUAAAACCCAUCAGAGUCUCCAAACCAACCACCUAUUUGUUCAAGCUGUCCAUCGAUCAUAUUCUAGAUUCUUCAAAUUAUAAACGAAGACGACAUACGACCAAAUCAACGACGGAGGAAGACGCCAUCGCCAUGGACAAGGAGCCCAAGAAGAAAUAUAGAGAUUUCUCCAAUUUUUGCACCCAAGCGGGUAUUAUUUCUCUCCAAUUGAUGAUCUCAAUAGAUGUUAUUAUUUUAACUGAUCCUUUGACGAUAAUUCAUGACAUAUAUGUACGUACAUACACACAUUUUUCAAAUUUUAAUAAUUUAUUUUCAUUCCAGAUACAAAUUUCGUUUAGAAAUGUCUUAUUUUUUCAUUAAUUUAAAUUUAUUUAUUUUUACUUAAAUUGUAUAUUAUGAAUUUUUGAAGAGGCAAAUGAAAAAUAAACUAAGUCGAAAAUAAGUUUUUAUUUGUAUAAGAAUACG